AUUGAACGCUGGCGGCAGGCCUAACACAUGCAAGUCGAGCGGAUGAAGGGGGCUUGCUCCUGGAUUCAGCGGCGGACGGGUGAGUAAUGCCUAGGAAUCUGCCUGGUAGUGGGGGAUAACGUCCGGAAACGGGCGCUAAUACCGCAUACGUCCUGAGGGAGAAAGUGGGGGAUCUUCGGACCUCACGCUAUCAGAUGAGCCUAGGUCGGAUUAGCUAGUUGGUGGGGUAAAGGCCUACCAAGGCGACGAUCCGUAGCUGGUCUGAGAGGAUGAUCAGUCACACUGGAACUGAGACACGGUCCAGACUCCUACGGGAGGCAGCAGUGGGGAAUAUUGGACAAUGGGCGAAAGCCUGAUCCAGCCAUGCCGCGUGUGUGAAGAUGGUCUUCGGAUUGUAAAGCACUUUAAGUUGGGAGGAAGGGCAGUAAGUUAAUACCUUGCUGUUUUGACGUUACCAACAGAAUAAGCACCGGCUAACUUCGUG
rnacentral:rRNA from 1 species